GCCUGAGGAGGAUGUGGAGAAGAAAGGAAAUUCACCGAGAGGAAGAGGAGGAAAACAAAAAGAAGAAAUGAAAGAGAAAGGAAGGAGGAAGGUGAAGAAAACGAGAGGCGGAAAAAAGAAAGAACAGAGGAAAAAAAAAACAAAAAAAAAAAAAAAAAAAAACAAAGACAACUUUUUGAGACUGCAAUUAAAACCGAGCCACCUCCGCUCCUCCUUUGCUGCGGCGCUGGGGAUGCCAUUGACUCCAGGUACGUGCAAAGUCCCACCCUGUUAUCACCUCUCCUAAAUGACAAUUUACACACGAUCUGUGCAAUCCUAAGGAAGCAUCUGCAGCAUCUUCCUGAGGAGGUUUGCUUUCUCAGCUCCGUAAUGACGCUGCACCUCAGGCAUUAGCGAUAAGCGGCUGUUGGCACCGGGACGGCUGCACCCACCAACCUCCCACCCCGUGUGUGCAUUUAAUUCAUGAAAAAUCAAUAUGGAAAAGGAUGGUAAGAAUGAAAAUCUCCCAUUUCCAUCUUUCUGGAAUCGCUUCUGUACUCGGAAAUGGAAAGCAACUGGAGGUGCACUCAGCAGCAGAGCAUGGCUGGGAGAUCCUCAGCUAGAGGACAGAGGAGCCCAUUGUGGGUGGCUGCUGUUUUGGUGGGGAUCUCAACGCUCCAUGAGGUUGUGUUGGUGCUUCCUGAUGUCUCUCCAUCUAUCCGUCGCCAAGAGAGCAAGAAACCUGAAGGUCUGAAUGUAUGGAAUGAGCUGAACCCCAAAUCUCUUUUUUCUUCCCAUCGGGUUGGAGCAUGAACUCCAUCACCCCAUGCCCAUUUUGGGGCUGAGGCCGCCAUCCUCAUGCAGACAUUGAUCCCUCGGAGGUGACCCAGCAGCUCCAGCCCCGCGCGUGCAGGAAUGGGCACUCAUUCCCUAACACCCACAAAAAUGCUUUAAGGCUCUUAGCUGCUCAGCUGAGCUGGAGCUGCUCAGCUGAUUUCUCACUGCUCAGACUGGGGGGGGGAGGAGGGAGAUGGAUUUUUGUGCCUUUUUCUCUCUUUUUAUGCUGAGAUGCAGUCAUGGAGUGGACGUGGGCUGGGGGAUGGAGCUUUGGUUUCACUGCUCUGUGUUGCUGAGCCUCCAUCCUUGGCUUAUUGCUUCCUUUCCACUGCUCGCUCCUCUUGGCUUCUGUGCUGUUAUCAAUGAUUUGUGGGACUGAAGGGCAAGAGAAAAGGAUCUUUCUUUGGCCCCAGUGUCUUCCCUUAUUAAAUGUGCCAAGUAAAUUUGGCACUGUGUGCUUAAAUCUAUGAGUAGCCCAUGAAUUGCCAUGGGUGAAGCAAGGUUUAUGUGGAGAGGAAAUACACAAGGCAAACCACUACGUAAAAAACAGAUCUGUGCUGGCCAACCCAGGACAGAACAGAGCAGUGGGGUGGGGAAAGUAGCAUGUGGUCCUACUGAGCUGCAGGGUUGCCUUGGAUGGCUAUGCCACAGCACUCAGCAUCCCCAGAUCUGCACAAACUUUGGGUCUUGGGGCUGAGCUUGAGGUUUUUCAGCAGCUCUGGUGACGGAGGGAAGCCUGGGGACCACGGCUCCUCAUGAGGCAGGUGAAAAAAAGGGGUUCUUUUGAAUGGAAUUUAUUUGGCUCUGCCUUAUAACUCCUGGGCUGGAUGUCCAUGGAGAUGAGGGAUGCUGAGUGAAUUCUGUGGCCGUAAUCAUCUGUAGUGCAGAUUGGGGGGCACUUGGGCUGACAUUUAUCCUUCUCUCAUUUCCUUUUCUCUUUCUCUCCACUAGCGCAGAGAGUAGCUUCCCCUGCUCUGAUGCUCCACGCUUUUCCUGGCCAGCCAAGAGUAAUGCUUGAGUCCUGGUGGAAGUUCAUUCAGAAUUGCCUGGAGUGGAGGCUGGAAAGGAAAACCACAACCACAGCAGAGCCUGGAUAUGGGAAGCUGCUAGCAGGACCCAUCUUGGGGACGGUCGCUGUGUGUGCCUUCCUCCAUCCUCCUCCUCCUCCCAGCAGCUGGUGAUGUGGAGCAGCACAGAGCAAGCCUGUAAGGACAGCAGGAGCACUUUGGGGAUGGGACACAGCACCAUGCCACACUGAUGGAGAACACGAAGCUGGAAGAGGGAAAAAAUCAACAGCAGAGAAGAAAAGAAAGGAAACGAAAGUCUCCAAACUCAGGAAAUCCGUGUUAAUUGCUUACAAAUGUCUCCAUCUCAAAAAUUAUCCAACUGAUGUUGUCGUGCUUUUUUUUUUUUGACAGCCUGUCUGUUAUAUAUAUUUUUUUAAAUAUUCAUGCACCGAAAUCUAAUUACUAGGCAAAUUUAAUGAUAAUGAAAUGAAGGCACUUUAGCAGAAAGCACGGGGCCUUGUUAAUAUUUUCUCAAUCUCUGUCUUGUUCGUAUUUUUAAAGCAUUUUUUUUUGUUUUCACCACCGCCUCUCUUGCAGUAAAAAAGAAUUGCCAAAAAUAAAACUUGAAUUGCUGGAAA